CUGUCUAUAUCCCAAAUAUUCAUGGAAUGACCAAAACACCCUUAUCCAGCAAAGCUUGCCAUCUUUUUGUUUUUGCCUCUCUCUUGCACGCUUCAAAACAGUGAAGCUCAAUUGACAGUAAUACCCACUCAGAGUCAUUAUUAUCCCAUCCGAACCAACGGAAACCUCCCUGUCGUUUGUCCAAAGCACCUGUCCUCCCUCGUCCACUCCUGAAAACAAGACACGAGUGCCACUUUUGUCUGGUCUUCCCGUCACCAAACAUGUAGUUCCCGCAAAACAAAAAAGCAAGAGAGAGAAACGAAAUCCUAGAGAGAGAAACGUUUGGAGAAAAUGGACGGUAGCACGGCCGAGGCCGAGAGGUGGCUAAGCAUAGCGGAGAAACUACUGGCGUCGCGUGAUUUGCAGGGGACCAGAACCUUCGCGAUCCGAGCUCGAGAAUCGGCCCCUGUCCUGGCGGACCAAAUCCUCGCCGUAACCGACACUCUCUUAACCGCCCAAGCCAACCCUCAAGACUGGUACGGGAUUCUCCAACUCGUUCCCUUAACUCAGUCCAUGGAAGUCGUGGCGAGUCAGUACAGGAAACUCGCUCUCCUAUUAAAUCCUGGGAAGAACAGGCUCUCUUUCGCGGAUCAGGCGUUUCGAGUCGUUUCUGAAGCUUGGAAUGUGUUGUCGAAUCCUUCUAAGAAGACCCUUUAUGAUAACGAGUUGAGGUUCCUUCAGUUUGGUCAUGUGAGUCAAAUCAGUCAACAACAACCGCAAACGCAGGCGCUGUUUAUGCAACCACCACCGCCGAAAGGGACGCAAACGCUAUUUAUGCAAACACCACAGAGAGAUACGCCAGCGCAAAUUACGCAACCGCUAUUUGUGAGGAGAAGCCCUAGAAAAAAUAAUAGUAAAGAUGAAAAUGCUGCAUUAGAAGGAGGAGGGCAGUUGGGUUUAAAUAAUAAUCACAAGGAUUCCACUCGGCAGACUGAAUCAGCUUGGACGGGGCAGAUUAAUCAGAUAGGUUUAACUGGACCAGGGCAGAUUAAUCAGACAGGAUCAGUUGGUUCGAGCCAGAUUAGUCGGCCCGAGCCUACACGGACGAGCCAGAUUAACCAGACAGGAACAGCUAGCUCGAGUCAGUUUAAUGGGACUGAGCCGACUCGGACGGGUAAGAUUAAUCGGACAGCAACUCCUUCGACGGAGCAUAGUCGGACAGAGUCAACUGGUGUGGCUCGGAAGACUGAUUCGACUCGGCCUAGUGAAGCUUCUGAGAACGAGGGACCGACUUUCUGGACGGCUUGUCCGUACUGUUACGUUCUCUAUGAGUACCCGAAGGCAUACGAGGAUUGUACUUUGAGGUGUCAGACUAAGAGUUGCAGGAGAGCUUUCCAUGCAGUUGUGAUACCAUCACCGCCUGUGAACGGAAAGGACACGUAUUUCUGCUGUUGGGGGUUUUUCCCAUUAGGAUUUUCGGGGAAUGGAAAGAAUAUGGGUGGUAAUUUUCCCAGUUGGUCACCUAUUUCGACCAUGUUUGCAUGCCCUAACAACAAGAAUGUUGAAAAACAAAAGACUGCCAAAAAGUCUGCUCCGAGAGUGUUUUAUGAUGAACAUGAUGUAUAUGUAGAGAUAUCUGAUUCGAGUGUGAGUUCUGAGGAGGAGGAGGAUGAUGAUGAUGAUGAUGAAUGGCAGAAUGAGAGGAGGAAGAAGAAGGCGAAGAAUGCCAAAGGGAAAGGAUCCGUGGGGAAAAAUGCUAAGAAACCACAGAGUGAGAGAGUGAAAAAGGGGAGUAAUGAGCAAGUUAAUGUCAGUCACGGUGGGAAUUUGAGUGGUGCGUCCAUGGUGCGAGAUGGUAUGCCAACUGCUGAGUCGAGCAGAAGGGGAGUGGGAAGUAGUGGAAGGAAGCAGAUGGGAAGAGGGGCAAAGGAUUUGGGGAAGUUGGAUUUGAAUGUGGAGUUUAGUAAUGAAGUGGAUGAGCCGGCACCAGGGAGGAAUGAGGGGAAUCAUGCUGGAUAUGGGGAGGAGGAUAACAGUGAAGGGAAUGCGUUUUUUGAGGGUCUUGAUGAGUUUUUGAGUAGCUUGCCUAUACUCUCAGUUGUUGGGGAUGAUAAAGUUAAGGCUACUUAGUGAAGUUAGAAAGUUUGGUACAUAAGCAUGAGACAUGUUGGUUGAAGAUUGAAUAUUCUGUCUACCAUGAUACUAGCAGUCACAGGAAUAGAUGGUAAGUUUUCUGACUGGUUCUCUUUCUCUUUUGAUUUGGGAAUUUAACUAUAGGGUAUUCCCCCUCAUGAUAUUGCUGCCUUCAAAUUUUUUUCUCCUCCUAGAGUGCUUUUUUCCCUGCCACUUUUCCCUCUUAUAAAAAAAGAAAAAGGACUGACACUGAGAUAUUAAUGUGCUUUGAAAAGGCAGAUUGAGCUAUUUAGAUUUGUCACUCUUGCUUUUGAGAGGAUUUCAUUGGACAGAGGAUUCAUAGCAGAAGAAGAUUUCUUUUUCGUAUCAUGCAUCUCUUACUGAAGGAAAGAAAUGUGGGAAUGAGAAGUGCUUAGCUGGUUGGAUAUCUUUGCUUGAAUCUGUGUUUGUACUUCUUAUGGGGUUUGGGUUUUUGUAACUGACUCUUAAGUGCUUUGUGUGGCGCUGGCGUGGGAAGACAUGUGGCAUAUAGUCUGAUUGUUAACUACACUUACUUCCCUGUAAAAUAUUGGAGGCUGCUUAUGAUUCUUCUUCCUAGCGGUGAAGUGUUGCUGACGGUUUUAGGUGCUGAGAAGAUGUCCAAAAGCAGUACUGUGGGAAGCAGAUUACUUGGAAUGGAAGUGAACAGCUUUCUUAUCUGUCGACCAUACUAAGGAAUUACAGUGUAGCAAUUGAUAACUUUCUCUUUCACUGGGGCAAAGGUAUGGUAUCCGUGUGAAAGUGAUAAAGAUAGCAUCUCCUGUCCAUUUAGAAGUGUCACGAAUAUUUGAUUAAUGUUGGGCAUGGGACCAUGGGUAACAGAGAAUCUUUUGUCUGAAAGUAGCAAUGGGCACAGAUUUGAGAUGGUAAUUGUGGACUUGCUGCUAGACAAGAAUGCUAGCAUUGCCAAAACUGUGGUGGUGUUUGAGAUGCAAUUAGUGCAGAUGGCCUCUUCAGCUUUGCAGCUAUGAUGGGUUUGAAAUGUUUUGCCAUUGGUUUCCGUUUGAAGAGCGUUUUUGUUGUUGGUAGCCCCUAUUCCUUGUCUAUAGAAAUUAAGUUCUCCAAUCUGGGAAAGCAUGUUAUUACUAUGAAUAUAACAGCAUCAUUGGUGUGACCCAUUUGGGGGCUAUUGAACUGGACGCCUCAUGUUCAAGAAGAGCUAUCUUGUUUGUCUCAACAUUGUCUCUCUGUAAAUGCUGAAAAUGACUAAUGAGCUAGGAAAUUCAAGUGCCGGUGACAUCUGGCUGGAAGCAUGUAAUAUAUGCGUGGUAGGAAGAUUUCUGCCUUUCAAGACCGUGCUAAUGCUUUGCCUAAACGUGGAUGCAGCACUCAGCAAUCAGUGGUCUACCCUGGCAUGCCCCUGGAUGGAAUAAGGGUGUGUCGUGUUGAGUGUCGACCUUGUUUUCUUGUUUGUUAGGCUCGUUAUUUGCUGUCCAAUGUUUUUGUCAUUUCUCAUACUUCUGCCAGCGCCCUGCCCUCUUCUUUUCAUUAUUGUUUUAUUUUUCUAAUUGAGUAUUAUGUGUAGUCCAAUCACAUUAGAUAUGAAUAAAUUCUCAUGUUUUAUUCAUCA